rnacentral:lncRNA from 1 species
AUCUGGCCUUUUAUGUUCAUAAUGUCAUCUCAUAUGAGGAGCGGAACUCAUUGGUACAUACAACCUCUUAACCUUAGUAUAAGGGGUAAAUAGUGCAUCGCCUUCACUGGAACCUUCUUUUAUUUAGCAUUUGUCACUUCUUUGUAACGCGACUGGUUAUAGAAUUUCAAUAUUAAUAUUCUCUGCUAUGGGACUACCUUAUUUACAACCAAAUGAGUUCUGAAAAUUAACAUACCUCUACACUAGUAUGAUUCUCCUUAUGCACAGUCCAUACAUAAUAAUUUUUCAUAAACCCCUUCUUAUACAAAUGAACAGUAACAAUAUCGGACUCCAGUAACUUAAGACACUUGUGUUUCACAUAGAGGAACCUAAUCGUCCCUUAGAUAAGGAACUCAUCAAGUGUUUUUGCCUUAGUAAUAAAGCUAGCAACCCAUUGACACAACCCUGUAUGAUUCAGAUGAUUCCUAUCUACACAAAAAUAUUAAAUAUUAUUUUAUUUAAAGGUUCUUAUUUUAAAAGGUUACCAUUACACAAUAAGUUAAUUUUUAAGAAUCCAAUUUUAAAGAAUUUAAUUUCAAAGGCUUCUAUUUGUAUAGGUACAAAAGUAGAAUUAUUAGCUUAGUAUUACCUAUCCUCUUGUCAUAUUCUCAAAAUCUCUUCUAUAAAGUGAUUGCGAUUCAUUAGAUCGUACUUCAUCAAAUUUCACAAACUAUAUAUUUCUUUUUAUUAAUAUCAUUUAUGAAUAUUUUUUACUAAGAGGAAGAGAGGUAAAAGGAAAACUAAAUACCAAAGCAAUAUCAGUGGCCUCCCAACUCAAAAUGCAAGAAAUCAUAUUUGUUUUCCCCAUAAUACUAUUGAAAUAUCAAAGCAAUUUCCAUUCUCAAGUGGAACUCCACAAGAUAAAUUUGUUCAAAAGAUUAUGAAUGAUCUGUUACAAGAAAACUACUCCACUCAAAAAUACCCAAAAUUUUAUAAAACUGAAAAUCAAUCUAUUUUCUAGCAUAAAAUUCUAAAUACUUGGAUAAAUUUAAUAAUUUUAAUAAAAAUUAUACUAACCUUUCCAUCGGACCACUACAACACCACCACUGAGUAUAGAGGAAGACAAUAUCAUUGGAGUCCACCGCCCCGCUGCUGCUGCACACCCGACCGCCUCUUCUAAAAAAUUGAAAAGGAAAAUGAGAAGAGAGGAGGAGGGAUAGAGAGAAGGAGAGAACGAAAUACAGUACCUUUGUCUUCAAUGGCACCAGUGGAGGGUUCCGCUGUGGGGGGUGUGGGGGAGAGGGGGGGGG